GACGAACGCUGGCGGCGUGCCUAACACAUGCAAGUUGAGCGACGAACCAGGGCUUGCCCUGGGGCAAAGCAGCGAACGGGUGAGUAACACGUGGGUAACGUGCCCCGAUAACCGGGACAACCCGAGGAAACUCGGGCUAAUACCGGAUGUGCCCACCAGACAUCAGUCUGGUGUGUAAAGGAAGCUUCGGCCUCCGUAUCGGGAGCGGCCCGCGGCCCAUUAGCUUGUUGGUGAGGUAACGGCNCACCAAGGCAACGAUGGGUAGCUGGUCUGAGAGGACGAUCAGCCACACUGGGACUGAGACACGGCCCAGACUCCUACGGGAGGCAGCAGUGGGGAAUCUUGCGCAAUGCGCGAAAGCGUGACGCAGCAACGCCGCGUGGGGAAGACGGCCU
rnacentral:rRNA from 1 species